CCGUUGAAACGCCAGUUCCCAUAUGAUCACCGAAGUUAAGCAACGUCGAACAUGGUCAGUACCUAGAUGGGUGAUCGCUUGGGAGUAGCAGGUGCUGUAA